UACGAGUGGUGCAAGCGUUAUUCGGAAUCAUUGGGCGUAAAGGGUGCGUAGACGGUAUGAUAAGUCUGUUGUUAAAUUCCUCGGCUCAACCGAGGAUCUGCGGCGGAAACUAUUGUACUAGAGGAUGGAAGAGAGAAGUGGAAUUCUUGGAGUAGCGGUAAAAUGCGUAGAUCUCAAGAGGAACACCAAUGGCGAAGGCAGCUUCUUGGUCCAUAUCUGACGUUGAGGCACGAAAGCGUGGGGAGCAAACAGG
rnacentral:rRNA from 1 species